rnacentral:rRNA from 1 species
AGUGAACGCUGGCGGUAGGCCUAACACAUGCAAGUCGAACGGCAGCACAGUAAGAGCUUGCUCUUACGGGUGGCGAGUGGCGGACGGGUGAGGAAUACAUCGGAAUCUACUUUUUCGUGGGGGAUAACGUAGGGAAACUUACGCUAAUACCGCAUACGACCUACGGGUGAAAGCAGGGGAUCUUCGGACCUUGCGCGAUUGAAUGAGCCGAUGUCGGAUUAGCUAGUUGGCGGGGUAAAGGCCCACCAAGGCGACGAUCCGUAGCUGGUCUGAGAGGAUGAACAGCCAACCUGGGAAUGGGACAAGGCCCAGGCUCCCACGGGAGGCAGCAGGGGGGAAUUUUGGAAAAGGGGCGAAAGCCUGAACCAGCCAUGCCGGGUGGGUGAAGAAGGCCUUUGGGUUUGAAAGCCCUUUUUUUGGGAAAGAAAAACCAGGAGUUAAAACCCCCGUGGUUUGGCGGUACCCAAAAAAAAAACCCCGGCUAACUUCGUU